rnacentral:rRNA from 1 species
CCUACGGGAGGCAGCAGUGAGGAAUAUUGGUCAAUGGACGAGAGUCUGAACCAGCCAAGUAGCGUGAAGGAUGACUGCCCUAUGGGUUGUAAACUUCUUUUAUAUGGGAAUAAAAUGUUCCACGUGUGGGAUUUUGUAUGUACCAUAUGAAUAAGGAUCGGCUAACUCCGUGCCAGCAGCCGCGGUAAUACGGAGGAUCCGAGCGUUAUGCGGAUUAAUUGGGGUUAAAGGGAGCGUAGGUGGAUUGUUAAGUCAGUUGUGAAAGUUUGCGGCUCAACCGUAAAAUUGCAGUUGAAACUGGCAGUCGUGAGUACAGUAGAGGUGGGCGGAAUUCGUGGUGUAGCGGUGAAAUGCUUAGAUAUCACGAAGAACUCCGAUUGCGAAGGCAGCUCACUGGACUGCAACUGACACUGAGGCUCGAAAGUGUGGGUAUCAAACAGGAUUAGAUACCCGAGUAGUC